rnacentral:rRNA from 1 species
UACGUUCGUUGGGUAGGGGAGCGUUCUGUAAGCCUGUGAAGGUGUGUCGUGAGGCAUGCUGGAGGUAUCAGAAGUGCGAAUGCUGACAUAAGUAACGAUAAAGCGGGUGAAAAGCCCGCUCGCCGGAAGACCAAGGGUUCCUGUCCAACGUUAAUCGGGGCAGGGUGAGUCGACCCCUAAGGCGAGGCCGAAAGGCGUAGUCGAUGGGAAACGGGUUAAUAUUCCCGUACUUGGUGUUACUGCGAAGGGGGGACGGAGAAGGCUAUGUUGGCCGGGCGACGGUUGUCCCGGUUUAAGCGUGUAGGUGUGUGUUCCAGGUAAAUCCGGUUCACUUUAACACUGAGGCGUGAUGACGAGGCACUACGGUGCUGAAGCAACAAAUGCCCUGCUUCCAGGAAAAGCCUCUAAGCAUCAGGUAACAUCAAAUCGUACCCCAAACCGACACAGGUGGUCAGGUAGAGAAUACCAAGGCGCUUGAGAGAACUCGGGUGAAGGAACUAGGCAAAAUGGUGCCGUAACUUCGGGAGAAGGCACGCUGACACGUAGGUGAAGUGAUUUACUCACGGAGCUGAAGUCAGUCGAAGAUACCAGCUGGCUGCAACUGUUUAUUAAAAACACAGCACUGUGCAAACACGAAAGUGGACGUAUACGGUGUGACGCCUGCCCGGUGCCGGAAGGUUAAUUGAUGGGGUCAGCGCAAGCGAAGCUCCUGAUCGAAGCCCCGGUAAACGGCGGCCGUAACUAUAACGGUCCUAAGGUAGCGAAAUUCCUUGUCGGGUAAGUUCCGACCUGCACGAAUGGCGUAAUGAUGGCCAGGCUGUCUCCACCCGAGACUCAGUGAAAUUGAACUCGCUGUGAAGAUGCAGUGUACCCGCGGCAAGACGGAAAGACCCCGUGAACCUUUACUAUAGCUUGACACUGAACAUUGAGCCUUGAUGUGUAGGAUAGGUGGGAGGCUUUGAAGUGUGGACGCCAGUCUGCAUGGAGCCGACCUUGAAAUACCACCCUUUAAUGUUUGAUGUUCUAACGUGGACCCGUAAUCCGGGUUGCGGACAGUGUCUGGUGGGUAGUUUGACUGGGGCGGUCUCCUCCUAAAGAGUAACGGAGGAGCACGAAGGUUGGCUAAUCCUGGUCGGACAUCAGGAGGUUAGUGCAAUGGCAUAAGCCAGCUUGACUGCGAGCGUGACGGCGCGAGCAGGUGCGAAAGCAGGUCAUAGUGAUCCGGUGGUUCUGAAUGGAAGGGCCAUCGCUCAACGGAUAAAAGGUACUCCGGGGAUAACAGGCUGAUACCGCCCAAGAGUUCAUAUCGACGGCGGUGUUUGGCACCUCGAUGUCGGCUCAUCACAUCCUGGGGCUGAAGUAGGUCCCAAGGGUAUGGCUGUUCGCCAUUUAAAGUGGUACGCGAGCUGGGUUUAGAACGUCGUGAGACAGUUCGGUCCCUAUCUGCCGUGGGCGCUGGAGAACUGAGGGGGGCUGCUCCUAGUACGAGAGGACCGGAGUGGACGCAUCACUGGUGUUCGGGUUGUCAUGCCAAUGGCACUGCCCGGUAGCUAAAUGCGGAAGAGAUAAGUGCUGAAAGCAUCUAAGCACGAAACUUGCCCCGA